rnacentral:rRNA from 1 species
GACGAACGCUGGCGGCGUGCUUAACACAUGCAAGUCGAACGGAAAGGCCCUGCUUUUGUGGGGUGCUCGAGUGGCGAACGGGUGCGUAACACGUGAGUAACCUGCCCUUGACUUUGGGAUAACUUCAGGAAACUGGGGCUAAUACCGGAUAGGAGCUCCUGCUGCAUGGUGGGGGUUGGAAAGUUUCGGCGGUUGGGGAUGGACUCGCGGCUUAUCAGCUUGUUGGUGGGUAGUGGCUUACCAAGGCCUUGACGGGUAGCCGGCCUGAGAGGGUGACCGGCCACAUUGGGACUGAGAUACGGCCCAGACUGCUACGGGAGGCAGCAGUGGGGAAUAUUGCACAAUGGGCGGAAGCCUGAUGCAGCAACGCCGCGUGCGGGAUGACGGCCUUCAGGUUGUAAACCGCUUUCGCCUGUGACGAAGCGUGAGUGACGGUAAUGGGUAAAGAAGCACCGGCUAACUACGUG